AAGACUAUACUUUCAGGGAUCAUUUCUAUAUUUCUUUACUAAAGAAGUUUCUCUGUGUAGAGCACCAGAAAUCAUGACGACGAGGCACAACACUCUCUCCUGAGCGUGAAGCUGGCUCAAGGUGCUGCUUUUUGCAACUGCCUUUUGCCAUUGAUGAUGGUUCUUCUCUCCCACUGGAGAGAGUACGAGGGAGACAGUGUGGUAUGAAUGGA
rfam:Erinaceus europaeus unplaced genomic scaffold scaffold00903, whole genome shotgun sequence